AAAUGACUCUCGGCAACGGAUAUCUCGGCUCUUGCAUCGAUGAAGAACGUAGCAAAAUACGAUACGUGGUGUGAAUUGCAGAAUUCUGUGAACCAUCGAGUUUUUGAACGCAAGUUGCGCCCAAUGUCAUUUGGCUGAGGGCACGUUUGCCUGGGCGUCACGC
rnacentral:rRNA from 1 species